GACGAACCGUGCGAACGUUGUUCGGAAUCACUGGGCUUAAAGGGCGCGUAGGCGGCUUGCCAAGUCAGUGGUGAAAUCCUGCAGCUUAACUGUAGAAGUGCCUUUGAUACUGGCAAGCUAGAGGGAGGUAGGGGUCUGUGGAACUUCUGGUGGAGCGGUGAAAUGCGUUGAUAUCAGAAGGAACGCCGGUGGCGAAAGCGACGGACUGGACCGUCUUCUGACGCUGAGGCGCGAAAGCCAGGGAGCAAACGGG
rnacentral:rRNA from 1 species